AGCUAGAGGGUUCCUUCUUCCUGUGGAGUUUUAUCUUCUGCUCCUCUGGCCACCCUCCUGAUGGAUCCCUGUGGUGCCAGGCAGGAAUGACCUGCUUAAGGACCCAGCGAGCUCCCAGGACCUUUCUGCUGCUUCCUCUACCCGUAUAUUUUGCUUGGUUCUCUACAUUGACUCAGCUCCAGCGAUUCCUGAGGAAUCUCAUCCACACUACCCUAUGGACUAAAAGGAAAACUCUUCAUGUGGUGUUAGCGCGGAGACAGGAAAGAGAGAAAGACAACAUCAUGCUUUGCUGUGUGUGUGUGAACUGAGUAACAGCUGUGAAGGAUCAGUCACCAAAAGACUUUGAAAGAAGAGGCUUGAUUGGUCACGGCCAUGGAACUUUAAUAGGGAGAAAAGAACAUCUGCUUAUAUGAAAACAUUAUAUUCAGCCAUCCCUGCCCUGACUUUGGCCUUUAAAAACAGUGGCAUUAAUUAUCUCAACAAAUGAAUCUUCGGGAUAAAAAUAAUCUAAAUAUUAUUUUACGCUUACUACUUAUUUGCAACGUGCUAAGCUCUUUAUGGUUGCUACCACAAAAAACAUUUAUAAUAUAAGACUUCACAAGAUUAGGAACAGGCUUCACUUCAUUGUGAUGUGUGUAAGGUGACAGAGGACAUAUAACGAAUACGUGGAAGAACCAGGAAUUUGACCUUAGCUUCCAGACAUUUUGAGGAGGAUACACUAUGUCCAUCUUGCUUUCCUAUCAAGAAAAGUAUACCCAGU